UACGGAGGGUGCAAGCGUUGUUCGGAAUUACUGGGCGUAAAGCGCACGUAGGCGGGUUUGUAAGUCGAUUGUGAAAGCCCCGGGCUCAAUCCGGGAACUGCAGUCGAAACUACAAGUCUUGAAUGCUCUAGAGGGUGACGGAAUUCCUGGUGUAGAAGUGAAAUUCGUAGAUAUCAGGAGGAACACCGGAGGCGAAGGCGGUUGCCUGGAGAUGCAUUGACGCUGAGGUGCGAAAGCGUGGGGAGCAAAC
rnacentral:rRNA from 1 species